rnacentral:rRNA from 1 species
AGCAGUCGCCACGGUAAUACGUAGGUGGCAAGCGUUGUCCGGAAUUAUUGGGCAUAAAGGGCUCGCAGGCGGUUUCUUAAGUCUGAUGUGAAAGCCCCCGGCUCAACCGGGGAGGGUCAUUGGAAACUGGGAAACUUGAGUGCAGAAGAGGAGAGUGGAAUUCCACGUGUAGCGGUGAAAUGCGUAGAGAUGUGGAGGAACACCAGUGGCGAAGGCGACUCUCUGGUCUGUAACUGACGCUGAGGAGCGAAAGCGUGGGGAGCGAACAGGAUUAGAUACCCGAGUAGUCCCUGUCUCUUAUAC